CAGGUCCGUAUUGGAAGCCUUGACUCUGGCCCAGACAUUUCUGCUGUACCUCAUGUAGGGUGAGCCCAGGACCUGCCACACUGUGCCAGCCUCGCCCAAGCCACCCCCCAGCCAGGACGCGGUCUUUCCUGACUCAGCAGGCUGAGGCACCUGAGGCUUUCAUUUUAAUUAUGAACCACUUCAAAGCCUUUCUGGAAGCAGUCUCUGCAAUAACCAACCUGGGUUCUCUCCUAAUGUGGGGAUUGUCCUGGAGCCCAGGCCUUCCAAGGCUCCUCCGCCCGCCAACAUCACCUACCUCAUCUUCCUCUUCAGCACAUCCCCAACAUUGUCUAAGCGGUAACUCACCUGAGCAAAGCACUUGACACGGAUUCAUUCAUUUACUCCUCACAACAACCUGAUGAGCACAGAAGUCCACCUACCUUCACUGGGAUCUCAGAAGAAGCAGAAGGAAAUAAGAAGAUCCUGGCCGGGUGCUGUGGUUCCCACCUGUGGUCUCAGCACUGUGGGAGUGCUAUAGUCCUAGCUACUUGGAGGCUGAGGCAGGAGGAUCACUUGAGGCCAGGAGUUCAAGACCAGCCUGGGCAACAUAGUGAGACCCCAUCUUUAUUUAUAAAAAAAACAAAAACCCAAGAAGAUCCAAAGGCAUAAAAAUGGUCCAUUGCACCCAGGACCUCUCCCUGACCGCAGAUCCUUGGCACAAGCUGGCAGCCCUGGUCUUGGUUUUUCCUCUCCCAGCUCCUUGUCCCUGUCUCAGGCCCCUCCUUCUUAAAUGAGACCUUUAUUGCUUUUUUCCUCAUAGUCUCUGCCACUCCUCCCUCUGUCCCUGUCCUCAGGAGCUGUAAAACCAUGCCCCAAAGAGUUAAGGAAGCCAAUGACAGAAAUUCUUUUUUUUUUUUUUUUUUUGAGACGGAGUCUCUCUCUGUCGCCCAGGCUGGAGUGCAGUGGUGCAAUCUUGGCUCACCGCAACCUCCUCCUCCUGGGUUCAAGCAGUUCUCCUGUCUCAGCCUCCCAAGUAGCUAGGACUACAGGUGUGUGCCACCACGCCCGGCUAAUUUUUUUUGUAUUUUUAGUAGACACAGGGUUUUCCUUUGUUGGUCAGGCUGGUCUCGAACUCCUGACCUCAGGUGAUCCACCCGCCUCGGCCUCCCAAAGUGCUGGGAUUAUAGGCAUGAGCCACCGCGCCUGGCUAACAGAAAUUCUUGAGUUUGCAGAAUGGAGGUUAAAAAAAGAAACAACUACCGGCCGGGCGUGGUGGCUCACGCCAUGCCUGUAAUCCUAGCACCUUAGGAGGCUGAGGUGGGUGGAUCACCUGAGGUCAGGAGUUCAAGACCAGCCUGGCCAACAUGGUGAAACCCCGUCUCUACUAAAAAUACAAAAAUUAGUCAGGCAUGGUGGCACACGCCUGUAAUCCCAGCUACUCAGGAGGCUGAGGCAGGAGAAUCACUUGAACCCGGCAGAGAUUGCAGUGAGCUGAGAUCACGCCAUUGCACUCCAGCCUGGGCAACAAGAGAGAAACUCCAUCUCAAAAAAAAAAAAAAAAAAGGAAAAGAAACAACUGAAACUCCCUCUGCUUAUGAGAUCAAAAGAACUGGCUAACACUGGUUGGAACCAACAUGGACAACUGGAGUCUGCGCAGGAUGAACUUGCUGAUGGCACCGACUGAAUUUCCACUGCAUGUUUCAUACUAACUCCCCUUGAAUUUGCACAUGCGACCCAUGAGAUCCCAGGAAGAGAUAACUGCGCAUGCCCAGGGACUUUCCAGAUCUCCCCUUUCCUUUCACCAAUGAUCUGCUCAUCUCAGAAUCCACCCCCUGAACCUUUUCUAAUAAAAAUACUGCUUUGAAGCCAAGACGAGGAGACAGAUUUGAGCUUCACACUCAUGUCUGCUUGUGAGU
rnacentral:lncRNA from 1 species